rnacentral:ncRNA from 1 species
UAUCUUCAGGGCAGGGUGAAAGUCCCUACCGGUGGUAAAAGUCCACGAGCCUCAAUGGGUUGACCCGGUGUGAUUCCGGGACCGACGGUCAAAGUCCGGAUGAAAGAAGACG